AAUAAAGGAAAUUUGUUCAGUGCAUUAAAAGGACAAACAUCUAGGCUAGUUCAUGUUAUAACAUUGCUAAAACAACAGAUGUAAUGGUGGCCCAAGAGUUUGUGCAUGGCUUUUCUGCGGUUGCAGACUCCUUGCCGGUUUCCAAUGGCCUUAUAUCAAGGUCCUACCUACUAAGUUCAGUAACUAAAUUCUUAUUGUGUUCACAGAUCACCCUGGAGGCUGUUGGACAACUUGGUCUCUCAGAGCACAGUAGCUGUGCUGCGGGCAAAGGCUUCUGUAGCCAUGUAACCGCUCUGCUCUUCCAGACAGCGCAUUAUGUGCAGCUGGGCCUUGAGGUGGUUCCACCUUCCCUGGUCUGUACCAGUCAACCACAGAUGUGGCAUCAACCUAGAACACAGGGAAUCCAUCCGGAGGCUGUGAGUGACAUUGUGGUGAAAAAACCCAAGUCAGUGGGGAAGAGUCAAGUACACACUCUACAGAGCGUAUGCUGCUAAGACAUUUUUUUUGCAAUUUGCACUCUGUUAAACUUCCUCAUUAUGACAAGAUGCAUAUUAGAAUAUAUCUGUUAUCACUACAAUAUUAAAAAAAACAGUCCCAUUUUUAUUUGACGUUUCCUCUAGGGCCCCUACCAGAACAACACAUCUUGGUGUCUGGAGCAAAGCUGAGUGAGAUUCACCCUCGCCCUUUGAUGUCCCAAAUCCUAGAGGGAAUAUCCAGCUUGGAGUUGGUUCCAUCUCAGCUGUGCUGACCUGGAAGAUGUCAGCAAUGACCUGUUCUUUAAGGCCAGUUGCUACUCUACAACAGUAGAUGACAAACUCAUCAAUGACUGGAAUCUUCCUUGAAGGGCUUGGUGUUGGAAUCGCCUCUUGUCCAAUCCUCUGUGCUUUGCUCCAAUAAACAAUAUAUUGUGUUGAGGGGCAAACAGACUCCCAAAACACUUGAAACACUUGAGAUGGAAACCGAGUGUAAUAUCAUCGUCUGAUCAGACACACAAAAUCUGUUGAGGACAGUUUGUGGCCCCAUGGACAUUUCUUGCAGCCUUGCCUCCAGCUCAGCAAUAUACUCCAGGGCAUCAUCCAGUGCACCUACAAAAAA